rnacentral:rRNA from 1 species
UACGUAGGGGGCUAGCGUUGUCCGGAAUCAUUGGGCGUAAAGAGCGUGUAGGCGGUCCGGUAAGUCCGCUGUGAAAGUCGGGGGCUCAACCUUCGAAUGCCGGUGGAUACUGUCGGGCUAGAGUGCGGAAGAGGCGAGUGGAAUUCCUGGUGUAGCGGUGAAAUGCGCAGAUAUCAGGAGGAACACCUAUUGCGAAGGCAGCUCGCUGGGACGUAACUGACGCUGAGACGCGAAAGCGUGGGGAGCAAACAGG